GAAGUUAACGGAGCUUAUGUUUUGAAAUGGCACAAAAGAAACAAAGCAUAGUGUAGAAUGCCACUACCUUACCUCUGAACAGCACUGCAUGAGAGGAGAAGCCAGUGCCUACUUGUUUGGAGGGGUCCUCAGAAAGGUCAAAAGGUUGCAAACACAUAGGAGACUGGUUAUAUGCCUGAGAGCUAGGGGAACAUACCAUUGCUGGAAUGCUGAGAAGCGAGGUUAUCAGAGCCUAAUGUUAUUGCUAAAAAUGGUAACCAGCAGUGUCGGGAGUGGAACAGAUCACCAGCACAGAAGAGACGGAAGAGCAAAGACAGACAGAGUUCCUGGAACCUGGCCGGCAGACAGACACGCUGGCAGACAUCAUGCCACAGGUUGAAGAGAGUGACCCAGCUUUCCCCCACCCUGCAGAGCUGUGGCCGCUCAGUUGUGGCUCACUUAUGGCAGUUUUACAUAUUGUGUAUAAGAGGCAUUCUAGGCAAAGACACCCACCAUUAUAAGCAUAGAUAAAGUCAAUAUUGUGCCAGAAAACUGUUGCACCAUACCCAGAUUUUGCCACUCCAUGACACAACUGACAUUUUAAUUUAGAAAUGAACAUAUGAUGUGUAAGAGGCACUCUGUAUUCAAUUCAAAAUGUUACCACUGGGGGGAGCUGGUCAUCUCCCACUAGCAGUGGAGAGCAGCGUGGCCUGCUCUUACUAACAGCGUUACUGACCACAUUAUGAAACCGAUACUGAUGCUCUGGAAUUGGUCGGUAGAAGGGGACCUGACUGUUCUAGUUCCAGUCAAUCAAGAUCUUGUCAUCCACUUAAAUCUGGUCUCAGAGAUUCCUGUGGCACUCUGAGAAGUUGUUGAACAAUUCUCAGGCAUUGUAUGACUAAUAUCUGCAUAGGCUCACAAUAAUGGAUCUUGAAGUAUUCAUAGAACCCACAUCAAGGUUUGGUCAUUUUGGAACUCUUGUGUUGGUUGUUGUUGCUCUCUUUGUUACUCUUUCAGCUUUCCUUCCUUUUCUGUGAAUGACCAUGGCUUUGGUCACCUUGGCCUGCAUGACAGUGACUGAACUUUUAUCAGUAUUCUUAGACACCUUCCCAUCAGCAGCUAUUCUGUAAAAAAAAAAGAAGCUGAAGAAGCUCUGUAACAGAUGAAUGUUUUAUUAAGAUCUUGCCUUUUGUUGAUAAGAAGUUGAAGAGUUUUUAAAUUACAAAUUAUUUUUAAAGUUUAACAAACAAAAGUUUUGUUCAAACAAAACAAUUUUAUGGCUGAAAGAAGUUAAGUGCAGGUUUUGCUGACAUAAGUAUGAUACUGUUUAUUCACACAUUAUUAUUAUUAUCAAAAUUAUUAUCUAAAAACAGACAUUCGCGUCAUCUGGAUCAGCUACAGUACAUCGAUGACAUAACAUCGUUUCUUGCUCCGAUCAUGGAGGAUGAUAUCCGGUCGCUUUGCUCCAAUGGUACGAUCGGUGUUAACAGCGGUUGUCAUACAUGAUGGUGAUGUUCUCCGUCAGGCUGGAGAUCGUACCAGUAAUCAGGCACUGGUAGGCCAAGCUCCUGAAGCACUGAUCAGUACAGGCAGGUACAGUAGCUAGCUAUUCUAUUGUGCUGAUGCAUAUAUUCUUUUGCCACUAUUAUUAUUAUUUGGUUUAAAUCAUUAUGGUCUGAAUAAAAACUAAAAAACUAUAAAACUAAACUAAAUAGCUGCAGACACACCAGCCCUCAAGAACUACUACAUGAUACAAGAGAAAGGAUAGGACUGAGGUAAAGGUUGACAUGACAGGAAUUAAAGUCAUAAUUAAUUAAUUAAUUAAUUAAAGACUAUCCCAGCGCUUAGUGAUUGUGUGGAUCCAUCCUGCCAGAGCAUUUUUUCAUAAGUGGAGGAUCAUUAGAAAUACAUUUUUGGAAGUUUCUGGAUUACAACUUUGACAGGCAUGUUGGCUUUUUCCUGCAAUUCAAUGUGAUAUAAAGUACAAGGCUGAGACAUUUGGGGAGUCAUGUGGGGAGUCAUGUGCAGAUUUACAUUACUGAUACAUUUUCUUGAGUAUGCAAAAAUUUCACUAUCCUUAAAAGUGAAAGUACAUAUAAAUUCUGUUUAAUUUUUAAUUACAUUAAUGCCACAAAACUGAACACUGUGUUCAGCAGUUAAUAAUUCAGACACUUUGGGUCAGACUUCUUAUAUGCCUGUAAAACAAAACAAGUCUGCACAUCUUUGUCCUACUAUUUAUUUAAUUUAAUUUUCUUUCAACAGAUUAUAUUCAGGAAUCCUAGGAAAUCAAUUCUACCUCAGCUUUAACUGCAAAUAAUACAAUCUGAGUCUAUCCCAUUAUAACAGCUUUAUCUUUUUCUGCCAAGAUGUUAGGGUAAUAAAUGUUGCACUGGGAAGAAUAAAAAAAGACCAGGUGAAAACCACUUUCAAGAUUUAUUUUCUUUUUUCUAGUUUCUCUUACUUCUGUCUUUCCAUCAGUGAAGUCUAUAUAUAUCUUGUGAUAACUGUGCAGGUGCAAUUGCUUGAAGAAGUAUACUGUAUCAUUAUACAGAAAGAAAUGUGCGGCAUGCUGUUAUCAUAUAGACUGCCUCCUUUUUAACUGGUGGGGAUCCUGCUGUGUCUCAGGUCUUGUUUCAACACUGCAUGUUUCUCUUAUUCCAGUGUGCAAAGAAAAAAAAAGUCAAACAAAAAAAGGAAAAUCUGUUUGGCUUGCAUUUUAGAGAAACUACAGAAUUCAAAAUCAAAAACAGAUUUCAACAUCAAGUGUUUGAGAAAAAAGGUGU
ensembl:lincRNA